UUCCUGAUGUUGAGUCAGAAUCUCCUUUCUUGUAGCUUGAUGACAUUCGUAUGGGUCCUACACUCUGAAACAUCUUCCACGGACAGCUCUUGAGAUAUUGGAUGAUGGCUAUCAUAUCUCCUCUCAGUCUCCUCUUUUCCAGGCUAACCAUACCCAGCUCCUUCAA